rnacentral:rRNA from 1 species
CCUACGGGUGGCAGCAGUGGGGAAUAUUGGGCAAUGGGCGCAAGCCUGACCCAGCAACGCCGCGUGCAGGAAGAAGGCUUUCGGGUUGUAAACUUCUUUUUAGGGGGAAGUGCAGUAGACGGUACCUCUUGAAUAAGCCAUGGCUAACUACGUGCCAGCAGCUGCGGUCAUACGUAGGUGGCAAGCGUUGUCAGGGUUUCGUGGGUGUACCGGGCUUGUUGCCGGUCGGAUAAGUCUGAUGUGAAAUUCGGGGGAUCAAGCAUGGAACGGCGGUGGAAACUGUAGGUCUUGCGUGUAGGUGAGGGGUGCGGAAUUCGUGGUGUAGCGGUGAAAUGCUUAGAGAUAAGGAAGAA